UUUCUCGGCCUUCUUCCUCAUUCACAUUUUUUUUUUUUUCUAAAAUAAGAAAAAAGAGAAAAAGGAAGUAAAACCAGUGAGAAAUAAUACUCGGCUAUGGAGGAAUUUUCAGUAGACGAUCCAACUCAGUUGCUCGAAGCAGCUUCAGAGUAUGCAUUUUAUCCUGGUGUUAAAAACGAUGUCUCGACGAAGGAUUUCCUCAAUCGCUUUCCACUUCCAGUCAUUAUCAAUGCUUUGCAAACCAAAUCAGAUGUGCCUGGUCUAGAAAACACCUUGGUUUCUUGCUUGGAAAGGAUAUUCAAAACGAAGUAUGGUGCCUCUCUUAUCCCACAUUAUAUGGAUUUUGUCAUGGUUGGCCUUAAGGCGGACUCUCAAGUGGUCAAAUGUCUAGCUUGUAAAACGGUUACAUGCCUCCUGGAACAUUUAAAGGAAGAAAAUAUUUUUGGCGUUCAGCUUAUAAUUGAAUAUGGUGUAUAUCCACUUCUGCUUGAUUGCGUCAUAAAUGGCAAUGAGCAAGUGUCGAGUGCAUCAAUGGAUGCAAUUAAGACAUUAGCUGGUUUUCCACAAGGCAAGGAGAUUGUCUUCCCAACUAAUAUCAAUGACGCCACACAUCUUGGAGUGUUAGCAGCAAAGUGCUCAUCCCUGGGACAAGUCAGAGUUUUAGCUUUGAUAGUGAAGUUAUUCUCUGUCUCCAGUGAUGUGGCAGCAGUAAUAUACCAGUCGAAUCUGCUUACACUUUUUGAGGACAAAAUCAAGAAUACAGAUGACAUCCUUGUAACAUUGAGUGUUUUAGAGCUCUUGUAUGAGCUGGCGGAAAUCCAGCAUGGUAGAGAAUUUAUGUCAGGGAACACUCUUCUGCAACUUCUUAGUUCUCUAAUCAGCAAUAAAUCAAUGGGAUCAAUUAUAAGGUCAAGAGCGAUGAUGAUCAGUGGAAGACUCCUGCACAACAACUACAUGUUUGUUGAUAAAUCGAGUUUCCAAACUGUAAUAUCAGCAAUAGAAAGAAUACUUGACUCAGAAGAAACUGAAGAUACAGAUGAAAUUGAAGCAGCUCUCGAGGCACUAGGUCAAAUAGGAUCUUCAAUCCAAGGGGCAGAGCUGCUACUAUCAAGUUCGCCACGUGCUGCUAAACAUGUCAUUGAUGCUGCCUUUGAUCGGCGAGGGCAUGGUAAACAGCUUGCUGCUUUGCAUGCCCUUGGAAACAUCUCUGGAGAAACUCGCUCGGAGAACACUAUGUUGCUGAAUAACAAUGCAGAAGAAAGCCUAAGGAGGUUAAUUUAUGAAUCAGCAUCCAAGACUACAAAAGUGACAUUAUCAGGAGUUCUUCUAUCUCUUCUUCGUCAAGAUUCAGACAUUCGUCUGGGGGUAUAUAGGUUGAUUACUGGGUUUGUGGUUCGGCCAUGGUUCCUGAUGGAGAUUUGCUCAAAACAAGAUAUAAUUGAUACAGUAACAGAUGCAAAUACUGAGACCAUAAAAAUAGGUAUGGAAGCUAGGUAUAAAUGUUGCAAGGCAAUUCAGAAGGCUCUUUCAUUGUCGGGUCAAAAUAUCAGCGAGGCUGCUCGUGACACCAUAGCUAAAAAGCUACAUGAAUCUGUUAAAAUGGGUCCCUAUCUUAUCAAAAAGAAUGAAGCUCAGCCUAUGGUGGUGACCGCCGAUAGAUUCUGACUUUUACUAUACUACGAAUUGUGAAGCAGAUAUUAGGAACUGCCGCGUGGCUAUUGACUUCACACUUAAAGACAAGGCCAUAUACAGUCAUCUAAGGAGAAACAAUGGUUGAGAUUGAUAUAUGAAAAUUUGGGACUGCAGAAGCUUCAUACUGAAGAUCAAUCUUCUUUUCACCACUUUAACCUUAUAUAAUACAAGUACAACUCUCAUGGAAUGGAAUGCCACUAACUUUACAUGAAUUUGUGUUCUUUUGUUUUUGGUGAGAAUUUGUGUCGAGCCUUGUUUAAGUUGUAUCAUUAUGUAAAAGUAAAUUAUAAUAACAUGGUCACUUGGUUUUGA